rnacentral:rRNA from 1 species
CCUACGGGAGGCUGCAGUGAGGAAUAUUGGUCAAUGGACGAGAGUCUGAACCAGCCAAGUAGCGUGAAGGAUGACUGCCCUAUGGGUUGUAAACUUCUUUUAUAUGGGAAUAAAAUGUUCCACGUGUGGGUUUUUGUAUGUACCAUAUGAAUAAGGAUCGGCUAACUCCGUGCCAGCAGCCGCGGUAAUACGGAGGAUCCGAGCGUUAUCCGGAUUUAUUGGGUUUAAAGGGAGCGUAGGUGGAUUGUUAAGUCAGUUGUGAAAGUUUGCGGCUCAACCGUAAAAUUGCAGUUGAAACUGGCAGUCUUGAGUACAGUAGAGGUAGGCGGAAUUCGUGGUGUAGCGGUGAAAUGCUUAGAUAUCACGAAGAACUCCGAUUGCGAAGGCAGCUCACUGGACUGCAACUGACGCUGAUGCUCGAAAGUGUGGGUAUCAAACAGGAUUAGAUACCCCUGUAGUC